UCCUCGAGUGGGCCUCCAGUAGCUGCAGCAUUGACAACAAAGGAGACAGGAUGAACUGAAUGGAACCAGCCUCCGUGGCGAUGAGGAAACAAUGAAGGGAGAUACCAGACACCUCAAUGAAGAGGAGGGCACCAGCGGGCGCGAUGACUCCAUUAUCGUCAACGGGGCCUGCAGUGACCAGUCUUCCGACUCCAAGGACGCCCCCUCGCCCCCAAUCCUGGAGGCCAUCCGCACCCUGGAGAUCAGAGGGCGCAGAUCAAGCUCUCGACUAUCCAAGAGGGAGGUCUCCAGUCUGCUCAGUUACACUCAGGAUCUGACUGGCGAUGGAGACGGGGAUGGCAAAGGGGAAGGUGGAGAUGGCUCUGACACUCCAGCGAUGCCAGAACUCUUCCGUGAAACCAGGACUUCGCUGGAAAGCCCAGCAUUGGUUUGA
rnacentral:lncRNA from 1 species